AAGAAAUCUGUUGAUUUAGUGAGGAAAAACAGAGUUAAAAACAAAGAGCUUGAGGUGUAGAAUUUUCUGCAGUAUUUCUUCUAGGUGGACAGUUCACUAUUCUGAGCUUUGGGAGCUCAUUCACCGUUGGAUCGGGUUCAAAUUUGCUCUACAUAUUCCUCACAUCUGGUUCUUCAUUUUUAAUGGUGGAGAUUGGAUCUGGAGAUCUGUAGCUUGGUGAUUUUGUCCAUGUUUUUGCUGCCCUUUGUUUGGUGAUAUUACUUCAAUUUUCUGUAGUUGCUUUGUUCAUUGAUUUUUUAUUUAUGAAUGGCUGUUUGUUGAGAGUUUUUUAUGUAAUUUUUGUGGUGAGAAUUUGGUGUGUGGCUAUAGUUAACAAUUGCUGGAGAUAAACUUUUUUAUUCCCAAAUUUUGUUGAUAGUGGAUUGUUUAUCCUCCGUGGUUUUUACUCCUCUUAAUUGGAGGAGGUUUUCCACGUAAAUUUGGUAUUGUGAUUUUAUCAUUUGA
rnacentral:misc_RNA from 1 species